rnacentral:lncRNA from 1 species
CAGCGACGGACGUGGGCGGCCACGCGUUCCUGUGUGUGUAGUUCGUAAAUGGCGAGAGAAAGAAGUGCCCUGGGCCAUUCAAGAACCUCCUUACUAAAUCCGGACAUCUCUAGAAGAGAUCCCACUUGUGGGCCUGUCGUGACAACCCGGUCUCCUUAAGAAGCUAGAGUUCCAGAGAGCAGGGAUUCCAAAUUGAAAAAGUCUCAGCACUCCUGAGAUCGGAAUGAUGUCAUCGGCCUGAGGAACCCCGGGUGCGGGAGAACCUCCCUGCGAAUGGAAGCUUCGCUGCCUCAGGCCUAAGCAGCCCUUGGAAUCCCGGGAACUGAAGCGCUCUAUUCAGAAAAGGCGGGCGGUCACUAUAGCCAAACUUGUACCACCAAAUCAAAAAUCCGAAAGCCUGCCCCAUCCCAACCGAUCUCUUCCUUGCUUUUCACUUGUUUGUAGGUUGGUUGUUUUGUUGCAAAGUCUGACUCAGUACCCCACUCCUGGCCUCCAAUUCUUGAUUCUCCAGCCUCAGCCUCCUGAAGGCUGCUCUGGUGUGGUUACUCCACCACACCUGUGUCAUGUCUUUUCGUUGACUUUGUCCCUCUUCCCUCUCUCCCUAUCAGUCUUAUUUACACUUCCCUUUUCUUCCUUUCUAUAGUCGAAAUAAACACCUUCUAAGCUUUCUCAGUAUGCUCCAGCACUUGCAGUAUAUGCUGGUAGAGUAGUUGAACCUGGUGAGCUGGUUCACCAAUAAAGAUUAUUAUUUAU